AUAAGGCUUAGGCUGAAGUUUGUUUCUCCAGUCUCUGGGGAAUUAAACACCACAUAAAUUCCUCCAAGACAGAGAAGGCAGAGGGAACAGAAAGGACUGCAAAUUGUGGUUUAUAUGUUGAAGGAAGAAACCAGAAACUAUUUAAUGGAAAACAAGGAUAGAAGCAAAUGUGAAAUCUACAUAAAAAUAGAAAAAAACAACUUGCUGUUUAGGUUUAAUUGUCUGUGAGGAUAAGAUAAUCUCCUGACAAAAGUCCUGUGGGCUUGGGGGAAAAAGCUAGAAAAAUCUCAGGGAAGAGUACUGAAAAUGAUCAUCAGCAUGGAAUAUUUUCCAUACAAGGAGAGGCUAAAUAGAAGUGCGCCCCUCAGAAAGCAGAGGACUAAAUCACAGAAGUAUACAAAAUAUAUAAAUUAUGAUCCACACAUGGCAUGGAAGAUGUAAGUGAGGAACUGUAGCCAUUAUUUCUUACUGUACAAGCACACCAUGAAAUCAUCAGCAGGUCCUGAACAAACAGAAGGAAGUAUUUCUGCAAGCAGUCUAUAAUUAAAUUGUGGAACUCAUUGCUACAGGAUGCCAUGGAAGCUGAAAGCAUAAAUGAAUUAAAAAUGAGAUUAGACAAAUUUAUGGAUUUGCCUCCAUCAAAGGCUGUUAAACAGAAGGAUGUGGUUUCAAUAUCUGACUCAGGAAAUCUUUCAGCAAAGAUUGCAGGAAAUCUGCAAGGAUAUGUUGAGGAAGGAGAGCAGAGGAUUUUCAGUCCUUGUGAAAGGGAUCAUUUGGCACCUGAUUUUCCCCUGUGCACAUUCUCUAAACAGCUGAAACUGGAUUGUCUCAGACACAGGAUGCUGAACAAUCCUUUGGCUUGACUCAUUAUGACUCUUUAUAAUUCUUACUUUAUUUCAUUUCUCCUUUCCCUUUAUCUGCCUUCAGUUUUUAUGACCAAGCCAUUGGAUGAACAAAGUCUCUCAGUAGCAGAGGCAGCUGCUGUUUGACCAGACUUCACAACCCUUUUUGACUUCUGGGGUUGUUGGACAGUUUUAGCUGUGCCUUGUCUUAAUGCUCAGCACCUG